rnacentral:tRNA from 1 species
CUGCCCGUAGCUCAGCAGGAUUAGAGCAACAGCCUUCUAAGCUGUAGGUCGUAGGUUCGAGUCCUACCGGGCAGGCCA